rnacentral:rRNA from 1 species
AUGUCGCCGCGCACGCUGCCGCCACGGCCGCCGGGCCCGGUGCGGCGCCUCACGACGGCGCCCAGCCCCGGCUCCAAGCGCCGCCUCGACUUCCUCCCGGCGGCCACGCCCCCGCGCUCGGCCAAGCGCCGCCGCCCCGCCCACCUCUUCGCGACGGAGGACAUUGUCCAGCUGGUCGGCAGCAUCCGCCGCGACCUCGCCCGAGUCCACGCGGGCACGGCCUCCGCCCCCACCCGCCGCCUCCUCCCCCUCUCCCCGGCCACCCCGAUGAGAGGCACCCGCCUCCUCCUCCCCUCGCCGGCCACCCCGACGAGCACCAGCAGCCGCCUCCUCCUCCAUUCCCCGGCCACCCCGAGGAGCACCACCCGCCCCCUCCGCGUCCCCGCCGCCGCAGCGCGCCAGGAGCGCCCGGUCGAGGCAGUCUUGCGCAUCCGCAGCCUAGCCUCUGCCGACGGCGGCGCGGAGUCCGCUCUGGAGGUCGGCGGCGGCGGGACGUCGGUGCGCGUGCGCCAGGGCGGCGCGUGCCGCGACUUCGCCCUCGACGGCGUGUCGGCGUCGGCGGACGAGGGCCUGGAUGCGUUCUACGCCCGGUUCGUGCAGCCCAGGGUCGCGGGGGUGCGCGCGGGCGCCAACUGCACCGUCAUGGUCUACGGGCCCACGGGCUCCGGGAAGAGCCACACCAUGUUCGGCUCGGACGACCAGCCCGGCAUUGUGUACCGCGCGCUCACGGACAUGCUGGAGGGUGGCGGUGCCGGCUGCGACGGCGACGGCGAGAGCUUCGUGAGGGUCUCCGUGCUGGAGAUCUACAAUGAGGUGGUGUACGAUCUGCUCGCCGGCAGCGGAGGAGCCAAUGCCAAGGUAAGGCUAGAACUGAUGGGCACAAGAGCCAAGAAUGCAACAUAUAUAUCUGGAAAUAAAGCAGGGAAGCUAUCAAGAGAAGUUGCCGAAGUGGAGAAGCGGCGUGCUGUGAAGGGCACGAGCUGUAACGCGAGGAGUUCGCGCAGCCACUGCAUGAUAGUCUUGGAUGUGCCGUCAGUGGGAGGAAGGCUCAUGCUUGUGGACAUGGCCGGCUCUGAGAACAUAGAAGCUGCAGGCCAAAUUGGACCUGAAGCCAAAUCGGAGACGGGAAGAAUUAAUCAAGGGAACACGACGCUGAAGCGGGUGGUUGAGUCGAUUGCCAAUGGUGACUCACAUGUCCCAUUCCGGGACAGCAAGCUCACAAUGCUACUACGGGAUUCAUUUGAUGACGAGGGAUCCAAAAUCCUCAUGAUCCUGUGUGCAAGUCCUGACCCAAAGGAACUACACAAGACCAUAUCCACCCUGGAGUACGGAGCCAGAGAGAAAUGCAUCACCCGUGCAGCAGCUCACGCCUCGACACCGUCGGGCAAGAUGAGCUCCAAAGACGCCGGGUACGAGGUGAUGCGGUCGAAGGACGAGGAGAUUGCGCGUCUGAGGACGAAGCUCAGGUUUAUGGAAGCAGCCGCGACACAGGAAGAGAUCCGCGUGAAGGCCGUCGUCGAUGAGGAGGCCCGGGUCCUAAGGAGUGAGCUGAGGACGAUGGGAGAGAAUAUGCUCAUGCAGCAGCAGGAGCUCCUUGCUGUGAAGCAGCGGCUGCAGGAGGUGGAGCGCGAGAAGCUCGACGUGGAGGAUGAGUUGCACCUGGCCUGGAGGGUCAUGAUGAAACUUGCAGUCUACGUGCAAAACUUGGGUGGCCCACUCACUUGA